GACGAACGCUGGCGGCGUGCCUAAUACAUGCAAGUUGAGCGCUGAAGGUUGGUACUUGUACCAACUGGAUGAGCAGCGAACGGGUGAGUAACGCGUGGGGAAUCUGCCUUUGAGCAGGGGACAACAUUUGGAAACGAAUGCUAAUACCGCAUAAAAACUUUAAACACAAGUUUUAAGUUUGAAAGAUGCAAUUGCAUCACUCAAAGAUGAUCCCGCGUUGUAUUAGCUAGUUGGUGAGGUAAAGGCUCACCAAGGCGAUGAUACAUAGCCGACCUGAGAGGGUGAUCGGCCACAUUGGGACUGAGACACGGCCCAAACUCCUACGGGAGGCAGCAGUAGGGAAUCUUCGGCAAUGGACGAAAGUCUGACCGAGCAACGCCGCGUUAGUGAAGAAGGUUUUCGGAUCGUAAAACUCUGUUGGUAGAGAAGAACGUUGGUGAGAGUGGAAAGCUCAUCAAGUGACGGUAACUACCCAGAAAGGGACGGCUAACUACGUG
rnacentral:rRNA from 1 species